rnacentral:rRNA from 1 species
GACGAACGCUGGCGGCGUGCGUAACACAUGCAAGUCGAACGGAGAAUUUCAAUAAGCUUGCUUAGCGAAAUUUUUAGUGGCGGACGGGUGAGUAACGCGUGGGUAACGUACCCAUAAAGCCGGGACAACCCUUGGAAACGAGGGCUAAUACCGGAUAAUCUUAGAGCUUGGCAUCAAGCUUUAAGGAAAGGUGGCCUCUGAAAAUGCUACCGAUUAUGGAUGGACCCGCGUCUGAUUAGCUAGUUGGUGGGGUAAAGGCCUACCAAGGCGACGAUCAGUAGCCGGCCUGAGAGGGUGAACGGCCACACUGGGACUGAGACACGGCCCAGACUCCUACGGGAGGCAGCAGUGGGGAAUCUUCCGCAAUGGACGAAAGUCUGACGGAGCAACGCCGCGUGUAUGAUGAAGGUCUUCGGAUUGUAAAGUACUGUCUUUGGGGAAGAAUGACUGAUUUGAAAAUAUUGAGUCAGUAUGACGGUACCCCAAG